CCUACGGGAGGCAGCAGUAGGGAAUCUUUCACAAUGGGCGAAAGCCUGAUGGAGCAACGCCGCGUGCAGGAUGAAGGCCUUCGGGUUGUAAACUGCUUUUAUAAGCGAGAAAUAUGAUGGUAACUUAUGAAUAAGGAUCGGCUAACUACGUGCCAGCAGCCGCGGUCAUACGUAGGAUCCGAGCAUUAUCCGGAGUGACUGGGUGUAAAGAGUUGCGUAGGUGGCAUAAUAAGUAGCUAGUGAAAUCUGGUGGCUCAACCAUUCAGACUAUUAGCUAAACUGUUAAGCUCGAGACCGUUAGGGGUAACUGGAAUUUCUAGUGUAGGAGUGAAAUCCGUAGAUAGUAGAAGGAACACCAAUAGCGUAGGCAGGUUGCUGGGACGGUUCUGACACUAAGGCACGAAAGCGUAGGGAGCAAACGGGAUUAGAUGCCCCGGUAGUC
rnacentral:rRNA from 1 species